UUGCAGUGGAAUAAUUAGUUCUAAUUUUGAACCAGCCCAAACAAGCCUCAAGUUUCCAAAACAGAGUUUUUUCUUGGUGUCAGUAAACACUUUGGUUUAGUAAACAGAAGUUGCUCAGUAUAAUCAAUGAGUUGCAUUCUUUUAGUGAUAUAGCCUGGCCCACAGCUUAGUACUGAAUCUCAUGGCGUUGAUCCUUCAGAAACCAGCCCACUGUUCUUUCAAAUUCCAAGGCUGUUCUGGGUUGUGUCAGGGCAGGGAGCCUAGUACUGGGUCCUUCAGGGUCUGAUUGUACCCUCAGGACAGGCUUGGAUGGGCUCAGGGAAAUGACAGAGUGGCAAAGUCACCAUCCCUGGAGAUUUUCAAGAAAUGUGUGGAUGUGGCACUGAGAGACGUGGUUAGUGGGCAUGGUGGGGAUGGGCUGAUAGUAGGACUAGGUGAUCCUAGUGAUCUUUCCAAUCUUGAUGAUUCUAUGAUACUAUAUGUUGUCUAUGUGCACUGGUAUGUUCAUGGUGGCCAGCUUCGGCCAGCAGCUCUGGCAUUCCAGGAAAGAUGGAGCCCCAGCAGAUGCCCCACUUACAUGUGGACUUCUUUUAACUGAAGGCAAGUUCUCUUUCUUUUCUGUUUCUCUGGAAGUGAUUGAAAUGCUUUGUCAGUCUGUCUGUACCUCACUGCUGCACAAUGACUUGCCCUGCUUCAGGCUACCAAAUAUUUGGGUUCGUCAGGCCGGAGUUUCAUGACCUUUUCCACACAGAGCAGAAUGAGAGUCAGAAACCAGAGGCUCCAGCCAACAGCCGCUGCAAUCCAUCCGUAAUCGUCGACACCAGUCGGACAGCACACGGCUGCUAGAGUGCAGAAGUCCACCUCUGGAAGAGAAAAAAUGAAGAUAGCCUCACCAAUGACCUGUACAGUCUCCUUACCUGGCUUUAUCAUGGUAGCAAUGAUUUAAGAAGACUUACUAAGACACGGUGGUUCAUACUCGUCUGUGUGCACGGUGCUUGUUGAAAUGUUGGAGGCUCCAGCUGCUGCCAGAAGGAAAGCACAGGAGGAAAGCAGAGCUCAUUAACCAGCUCAGGCUGGAAGAUACAACAUGCAGAUAUAGGUAAAGGAUAUAAAAUUUGCCUCUUUAACCUGCUUCCUACCUAGAAUCAGAGCACACUGACACUCCAGUGCAGCACUGCCUCUGGUCUACAGCCCUCCAAAUCUGUACAUGGUAUCACAGGGCAAAGCCUUUUUAGGCCUUCCGAUACCCAUUUCCCCUCAGCACAGUGCAGACCUCAGAGUGCUGCAGGAUGGGAUGUGAGGAUGGCUGAGGGAUGCUCAUGUGGGAGAAGCAUAGGCUGCUGCAGUCUCUGUGCAUGAGCACCAAACUGUCCCCUGCUGCAGAAGGA
rnacentral:lncRNA from 1 species